rnacentral:rRNA from 1 species
ACGGAAGGCAGCAGUGGGGAAUAUUGCACAAUGGGCGAAAGCCUGAUGCAGCGACGCCGCGUGAGCGAAGAAGUAUUUCGGUAUGUAAAGCUCUAUCAGCAGGGAAGAUAAUGACGGUACCUGACUAAGAAGCACCGGCUAAAUACGUGCCAGCAGCCGCGGUAAUACGUAUGGUGCAAGCGUUAUCCGGAUUUACUGGGUGUAAAGGGUGCGUAGGCGGCACGGCAAGUCAGAAGUGAAAUCCCAGGGCUCAACCCUGGAACUGCUUUUGAAACUGUCGAGCUAGAGUACAGGAGAGGUAAGCGGAAUUCCUAGUGUAGCGGUGAAAUGCGUAGAUAUUAGGAGGAACACCAGUGGCGAAGGCGGCUUACUGGACUGACACUGACGCUGAGGCACGAAAGCGUGGGGAGCAAACAGGAUUAGAUACCCUGGUA